rnacentral:rRNA from 1 species
CCUACGGGUGGCAGCAGUGGGGAAUAUUGCACAAUGGGGGGAACCCUGAUGCAGCGACGCCGCGUGAGUGAAGAAGUAUUUCGGUACGUAAAGCUCUAUCAGCAGGGAAGAAAAUGACGGUACUUGCCUAAGAAGCCGCGGCUAACUACGUGCCAGCAGCCGCGGUAAUACGUAGGGGGCAAGCGUUAUUCGGAUUUACUGGGUGUAAAGGGAGCGUAGACGGCAGCGCAAGUCUGGAGUGAAAUACCAGGGCUUAACCAUGGAACUGCUUUGGAAACUGUGCAGCUUGAGUGCAGGAGAGGUAAGCGGAAUUCCUAGUGUAGCGGUGAAAUGCGUAGAUAUUAGGAGGAACACCAGUGGCGAAGGCGGCUUACUGGACUGUAACUGACGUUGAGGCUCGAAAGCGUGGGGAGCAAACAGGAUUAGAUACCCCAGUAGUC